GAUAGCACUUAUCCUCUUCAAUUCUCUUCCUCAACCACUUCCUGGAUUUCCCUCUGUUAAACCCCACAAAGCUCUCCAUUAACCAUGCAAUGGCGGAUUCGUCUCUUCACCUCCUCUCCAAUGGCGGAUUCAUCCACCAUUCUUCUCCUUCCCCUCUCUUCCCCUCUCUUCCUCGCUCCAGAACCCUCCAUUUCCCCGUACUUUCCAAUUCCAGAACCUCCUUCAUCUUCCCUUCCAAACUCCCUCCUCGCAACCCCGCCAUUCCUCCCCUCUCCCCCCCGCUCCCUCCAUCUCCCCCUCACACCGACCAUCACUCCGACUUUCAGGAGAAAAUGCUCUUCCUCGACUCCAUUGGCAUCGACUUCCUCUCCGUCAUCAAAGACCACCCUCCCGUCGCCUCUGCUUCCCUCCCCGACAUCAGAUCAGCCGUCGAUUUCAUGACCUCCAUGAAUUUCACCACCCUCGAACUCCGUCGAAUCGUCGGUAUGUGCCCUGAGAUUCUCACCUCUCGCGCUUCCGUUCUUAUCCCUAUCUUCACCUUCCUCCUCCGCGAAGCUCGAGUCGACGGUUCCGACAUCAAACGCGUUAUCAAUCGACGCCCUAGAUUGUUAGCCUGUAGCGUGAAAGAUCAGCUCCGUCCAACUCUCUACUUCCUGCAAAGCAUCGGCAUAUCCGAGGUACAUAAACACACAUCCUUACUCUCAUGUAGCGUUGAAGAGAAACUGAUUCCGAGAAUCGAGUUCUUCGAGAACUUAGGGUUUUCCCGACGGGAUGCUUUGAUAAUGUUCCGGCGAUUCCCGCAGCUGUUUUGCUACAGCAUAAAGGAGAAUCUGGAACCGAAACUGAAUUACUUUGUGGUGGAAAUGGGGAGAGAAUUGAAAGAAUUGAAGGAAUUUCCUCACUAUUUCUCGUUUAGUUUAGAGAACAGGAUCAAGCCAAGACAUCAAAGCUGUGUGGAGAAGGGAGUUUGUUUUCCAUUGCCGGAGUUGUUGAAAAGCAGCGAAAUGAAAUUCCGGGAGAAAUUGGAGAAAUCAAAGCAGAAGGGUGUCAUGUAUAACAAUAUGGUUAAAUCGAAUGACUACAUUCAUGACGAGGGAUCUUCAAAAGAUGCUCUUAGUUGUGUUCAGACACCUGUGUCUGCAAAAGGAGGAAGGGUAAACAAUAGGUCAAAGACUUCAAGGAAAACUACAUCUGGGCCUCAAACACCUAUCUCAGACACUAGCACUUAUUCUCCACUUACUCCUGCCGGAAAUUGUCGAUAUGACAGUUCUUUAGGUCUUCUGACAAAAAAAUUCAUCAAUUUAAUUAAGCAAGCAAGGGACGGCAUUCUUGACUUGAACAAAGCUGCAGAAACUUUGCAGGUGCAGAAAAGGAGAAUAUAUGACAUAACCAAUGUUUUGGAAGGCAUAGGUCUCAUAGAAAAGAAGCUGAAAAACAUAAUAUAUUGGAAAGGAUUUAAUCAACAAAUUCCAGGAAAUGUGGAUAGUGAUGCUUCUAUGUUGCAGGUGGAUGUUGAAAAUCUUUCGUUUGAAGAGCGUAGAUUAGAUGAUAAGAUAAGAGCAAUGCAGGAAAGACUGAGGAAUUUGAGUGAAGAUGAUAAUAUCCAGAAGUGGCUGUUUGUAACAGAAGACGACAUUAAAAACUUGCCUUGCUUUCAGAAUGAAACGCUGAUAGCAAUUAAAGCUCCUCAUGGAACCACAUUGGAAGUUCCUGAUCCCGAUGAAGCUGUUGAUUAUCCACAGAGAAGAUAUAGGAUAGUUCUUAGGAGUACAAUGGGUCCUAUUGAUGUAUAUCUUGUCAGUCAAUUUGAGGAAAAGUUUGAGGAGAUGAAUGUGGUCCAGCCACCUAGUAGCUUCCUACAUGCUUCCAGUUCAGGAUCAAAUGAACAUCUAGCAACAGAAGCAAUCAUUGGGGAGAGUAGUAGAAACGAAAUGGAACCUCAAGCUCAUCUGUCCCAACACAGCAGCAGCUGUGAUGUGAAUGGUUCAAAUGAGUUUCCUGGUGGAAUGAUGAAGAUUCUUCCUUCAGAAGUUGAUAAUGAUGCAGAUUACUGGCUGUUAUCAGAUGCUGAAGUUAGCAUUACAGAUAUGUGGAGAACAGAUUCAGAUAUUGCAUGGGAUCAAUCAGAUAUGGUUCCUCAUGACUUCUUAUUAUCUGAUGUCAAUACUCAAAGGCCAAGACUAGGAAGCCCACACUCAGAGACAGCUGAAGCACCAUCUGAUGUUAACUUAAGACAGAGGUGACAAAGGAACAGAUCUGACUUUAAUUCAUUAGUGAUCUGUUCCAUCCUCAUUAAUCCUCAAGAUGUUGAUUUGUAGCCAAACAAACAGUUGAAUUUGACUGGAACUCACGCUCAACUGUACAGUGUAAUUUUUAUAACCCAAGUAAUAUAUUGGGAAAAUUUUCCAAGCAUGGUAUAGAAUACAAUUGUCAGAGCUAGUCGGGCAGGGAGUGGUGAGGUUAGUAUUUGCAUAUGCUAUAGCCGAGGAAAUGGGAAACAAACUUUUGUAAGGUUGCAGAUAGGCAGAAAGAAGCACGUAGGAUAGGUUUCCAGACAUUAUCAGAGCGGCAAAAGCUUCAAAUGCAUUGGUAAAACUUUUCAUCUUCGGUUUCAAAUCCAUUUAACAAUUAAAGGGUUUGAGAUAUCUAUCUGAUAUGAGGAAGAAAUAGUUUGAUUUAAUUGAAAUUUUGUGACAAUGGCUUGGAAUUUUUCUUCGAGUUAACCAAGGAUUAUGGAAAUCAUAGAUUACUAGAAACCUCCUCAUAUGUUUGUCAUAUUUAGAGUCACUCUAAGACAUGUUUUUAGUCAUUCAAAAUCAGUAAUUCUUAACAUGAUGGAAAGUGAUCUCUAACACUUUCGAAAUACUCCUAGACACGUGAAAAGUAACAGAUAAAUAUGAGUUUGAUCGACAAAAACUGGGUAUAGUUGAGUGUAGAUUAAUCUGGUCAAAUUUGGUUGGUUUGAUUUAGUCUAACCUCAAGAACUGAACCCACUUGCUUACACCUAAACUUCAACUAUAUUGUAAUGAAAAUUUAUAAGGGAUC